UACGGAGGGUGCAAGCGUUGCUCGGAUUUAUUGGGCGUAAAGGGCAGGUAGGCGGUUUCGUUUGUCUGGGGUGAAAGCCUUGAGCUUAACUCAAGAAGUGCCCCAGAAACGGCGAGACUAGAGUCCUAGAGAGGGUCGUGGAAUUCCCGGUGUAGCGGUGAAAUGCGUAGAUAUCUGGAGGAAUACCGGUGGCGAAGGCGGCAUCCUGGACCGACAUUGACGCUGAGGAGCGAAAGCUAGGGGAGCAAACGGG
rnacentral:rRNA from 1 species